rnacentral:rRNA from 1 species
UGGUGGAGUGAUUUGUCUGGUUAAUUCCGUUAACGAACGAGACCUCGACCUGCUAAAUAGAUCGGCGAACCUCCGGGUUCGUUCGCGUCUUCUUAGAGGGACUAUCGGUGCGUAGCCGAUGGAAGUUCGAGGCAAUAACA